rnacentral:rRNA from 1 species
UACGUAGGGGGCAAGCGUUGUUCGGAAUUACUGGGCGUAAAGGGCGCGUAGGCGGCCAACUAAGUCGGAUGUGAAAUCCCCAGGCUCAACUUGGGGAACUGCAUCCGAUACUGGUCGGCUUGAAUCCGGGAGAGGGAUGCAGAAUUCCAGGUGUAGCGGUGAAAUGCGUAGAUAUCUGGAGGAAUACCGGUGGCGAAGGCGGCAUCCUGGACCGGCAUUGACGCUGAUGUGCGAAAGCCAGGGGAGCAAACGGG